AACGAACGCUGGCGGCAUGCCUAACACAUGCAAGUCGAACGAGACCUUCGGGUCUAGUGGCGCACGGGUGCGUAACGCGUGGGAACCUGCCCUUAGGUUCGGAAUAACUCCCCGAAAGGGGUGCUAAUACCGGAUAAUGUCUUCGGACCAAAGAUUUAUCGCCUUUGGAUGGGCCCGCGUUGGAUUCGCUAGUUGGUAGGGUAAAAGCCUACCAAGGCGACGAUCCAUAGCUGGUCUGAGAGGAUGAUCAGCCACACUGGGACUGAGACACGGCCCAGACUCCUACGGGAGGCAGCAGUGGGGAAUAUUGGACGAUGGGCGAAAGCCUGAUCCAGCAAUGCCGCGUGAGUGAGGAAGGCCUUAGGGUUGUAAAGCUCUUUUACCCGGGAUGAUAAUGACAGUACCGGGUGAAUAAGCACCGGCUAACUCCGUG
rnacentral:rRNA from 1 species